rnacentral:rRNA from 1 species
UACCAGCACCCCGAGUGGUCGGGACGUUUAUUGGGCCUAAAGCAUCCGUAGCCGGUUCUACAAGUCUUCCGUUAAUCCACCUGCUUAACAGAUGGGCUGCGGAAGAUACUAUGGAGCUAGGAGGCGGGAGAGGCAAGCGGUACUCGAUGGGUAGGGGUAAAAUCCGUUGAUCCAUUGAAGACCACCAGUGGCGAAGGCGGCUUGCCAGAACGCGCUCGACGGUGAGGGAUGAAAGCUGGGGGAGCAAACCGG